GCUAAUCUGUUACCUUCUUCAGUUGUAUUAAAACUUUCUAAAGGGUGAAUUAGAAUUAUUCAGGAAAUUUCUACAAUCUUGAUGAAUGCAACCACUAUCCCCAGUUCAAAUAGAAACCUGGGGUUCAUUCAAGACUUUGGUAUGGAGAUCAAGACAUUUUGUGUGGGCCAGUGACAGGCACAUCCCCCGGGCCUCACUGCCAUCUUAAAGGUCUCACCUGCCACCUAGUCAUUGCUAUCAGCCUCUGGCUGUGGUGGGGAGACACGAGAACUGACCGCGAGAUGUAGUCCCAAGCACUGACCAUCAGUAGCCGACUUGAAGGGAAAACACCAAACCACGUGAGAUGGGAGAAGGUGUCACAAGUGAUUAAUUCAUGAGACAAAAUGUUAAGACAAACGAAAAUAUCCCCAAACUUACUUCACUCUCUGAGGCUGCUGUGAGAAGCAAAUGAAGCAAGUGGAGCAAUCAAGCAUAGAAGCCUCCAGGUGUCUCCGGGCCCCUGAUUGUGCCUCCAAUGCCGAGACAUCGGAGCGUGCGACACCUGUGGGGGAGACGGAUUGCAUUUCAGGGAUUAAGAGCCUGGGAGUAAAACCAACGUGCGUGUCCCGGGAAUGCGCCCCGCCGCUGAAUCGUGCUGGAGCCUGGCUCAGGACUGAAGAAGCUGUUUUCUGGAGACCUUGCAGCUGGCGCCAGGAGGUCCCAGCAUUCCACCCACUACUCAGAGGCCUUCUGGAAACAUGCAUGUGCCUGCUUCCUGAGGGGAACAGUAACACGGUAACAAGCUGAGCACCCCUCCCCCACCUCACACUCAAAGUCACCAAGAGAUGACAUUUCUGGAGCUCAAAGGCAGGUUCUGGAGCUAGGUGGCCCGGGUUCAAAGCCCAGCUCUGCCACUUAAUGGCUGUGGCACCCCGGGGCAAGCCACCUACCUGGUGAGGCGUCAGUAUGUGAGGCAUGGCAAGCCCAGCAGACUCUAGAGGCAGAGGGUAGUGAACAUGGGGGCAGCUGCAUUCCUUUGAUCACCACGCCACUUCAAGCAGACUGUUCUAGAACAGUGUUGACCAGCAGAAAUAUAAUGUGAGCCACAUAUAAAAUUAAAAAAAUUUUUCUAGGAAGCUUAUUUCAAAAAAUAAGAACAGUUGGCACUAAUAGUUGUUAACCAAAUGUACCCCAAAUAUUGUCAUAACGUAAUUAAUAUAAAGAUAUUACUGAAAUAUUUUACAUAUUUUUGGCACCUAAAUCUUUAAAAUCUGGUGUGUAUUUUACAUUUAUAAUACAUCUCAGCAUGGACUAGCCACAAUUCAAGUGACCACAUGUGGCCCAAUAGUCCAUGUGGCUAGUUGCUACCAUAUUGAAUAGCACAGCUAUCCCCACAUGAUUGGAACAAAAUUAGAGCAAUAGCUGGUAUUUCUUGAUCACCAGCUGGGAAAUGAGCAAAUGACUAAACCUGUGCCGGUUCCUCCUUGUAAAAGAGGAGUAAUAAUAAAACCUAACGUGUUCCUGUGAGCCUUAAAUUAAGACACGUAUUUGAAGCCAAUGCACAGUUUCCUCAGCCUGAAGUGCCCUGUCUCCUCCACCUGCAAAUCCUUAUUUGUCCAUCAAGACCUUGUUCAAACUCACCUCCUCUGUGAAGCCCACCUAACUUCCUCUUAGCAUCAGGUGUUCUUGGUUCUGGACCAACUUAGCACAUUGUUCCUUUCCUUGCUUUUUUGAUCAUUUCCCAAGCUGUCUACUGGGUGAAUCUGGAAGGGAUUCCUGCAUCUCAUUCAUUCUAAAAUGCAGAUUGUCAACUCUUUAGCAUGUCUGGAAUCAAUAUGCAUUUAUAUUACAAUUGGCAGUGUUUUGUUCUUUCUUGGUGAGUCCAAAAAAGGGGGGAGGGAGAAAAAAGAGUAAUGGCGUGACUGUACUAUAUGGCAUAGAUUUGAUAAAUUUCAGUAUUUGUCUUUGCGUCCCCAGGCACUGGGCUCAGUAAAUGCAAUAAAUGUGUCAAAUGUACUGACAACAGUAAUAAAAGUUUACUGCAAUUA